rnacentral:tRNA from 1 species
GGGGAUUUAGCUCAGUGGCGUAAGCACCUGCCUUGCAAGCAGGCGGUUGUGAGUUCAAUCCACAGUACCGA